rnacentral:rRNA from 1 species
UACGUAGGGUGCAAGCGUUGUCCGGAAUUAUUGGGCGUAAAGAGCUCGUAGGCGGUCUGUCGCGUCGGCUGUGAAAACCCAGGGCUCAACCCUGGGCCUGCAUUCGAUACGGGCAGACUAGAGUUCGGUAGGGGAGACUGGAAUUCCUGGUGUAGCGGUGAAAUGCGCAGAUAUCAGGAGGAACACCGGUGGCGAAGGCGGGUCGCUGGGCCGAAACUGACGCUGAGGAGCGAAAGCGUGGGGAGCAAACAGG